rnacentral:rRNA from 1 species
UACGGGGGGAGCAAGCGUUGUUCGGAUUUACUGGGCGUAAAGGGCGCGUAGGCGGUCGUGACAAGUCACUUGUGAAAUCUCCGGGCUUAACUCGGAACGGUCAAGUGAUACUGUCGGACUAGAGUACAGAAGGGGCAACCGGAAUUCUUGGUGUAGCGGUGAAAUGCGUAGAUAUCAAGAGGAACACCUGAGGUGAAGACGGGUUGCUGGGCUGACACUGACGCUGAGGCGCGAAAGCUAGGGUAGCAAACGGG